UCGCACCUACCGAUUGAAUGAUUCGGUGAAGAUCUCGGAUUCUGACAUCGUACCUUUAUUGGCACUUUAUCGGGAGAAGUUCUCUAAACCUCAUCAUUUAGAGGAAGGUG
rnacentral:rRNA from 1 species